rnacentral:rRNA from 1 species
AUUGAACGCCGGCGGCAUGCCUUACACAUGCAAGUCGAACGGCAGCACGGGAGCAAUCCUGGUGGCGAGUGGCGAACGGGUGAGUGAAGUAUCGGAACGUGCCCAGUCGUGGGGGAUAACGUAGCGAAAGUUACGCUAAUACCGCAUACGAUCUAUGGAUGAAAGCGGGGGAUCGCAAGACCUCGCGCGAUUGGAGCGGCCGAUAUCAGAUUAGGUAGUUGGUGGGGUAAAGGCUCACCAAGCCGACGAUCUGUAGCUGGUCUGAGAGGACGACCAGCCACACUGGGACUGGGACACGGCCCAGACUCCUACGGGAGGCAGCAGUGGGGAAUUUUGGACAAUGGGCGAAAGCCUGAUCCAGCCAUGCCGCGUGCAGGAUGAAGGCCUUCGGGUUGUAAACUGCUUUUGUACGGAACGAAAAGGUCUGGCCUAAUAAGCUGAGCUCAUGACGGUACCGUAAGAAUAAGCACCGGCUAACUACGUGCCAGCAGCCGCCGCAG